AAAAAAACAAACAUUGGGUUUCCGUGGCAACGUUUGACUGUCCGUCUUAUAUAAUUUUUUUUAUAAUUAGUAUUUUUAUUGUUGUUAGAUGAUAAAACAUGAUUAAUACUUUAUGCGUGACUUAUCAUUUUAAUUUUUUUUAUAUUUUUUUAAAUACGACGGACGGUCAAAUGUUGGAUACGGAAAAC
rnacentral:pre_miRNA from 1 species